UACAGGGGGUGCAAACGUUGCUCGGAAUUAUUGGGCGUAAAGCGCGCGUAGGCGGCUACUUAAGUCGGAUGUGAAAGCCCCUGGCUCAACUGGGGAAGUGCACCCGAAACUGAGUAGCUUGAGUGCAAAAGAGGGCCGCGGAAGUUCCCGGUGUAGAGGUGAAAUUCGUUAGAUAUCGGGAGGAACACCGGUGGCGAAGGCGGCGGCCUGGGUUUGACACUGACGCUGGAGGCGCGAAAGCGUGGGGAGCAAACAGG
rnacentral:rRNA from 1 species